rnacentral:sRNA from 12 species
UUAAGAGAAUGUCAAUGUCAUUACCCACAUUAAGUGGAUAUGGGAAUACAUUUGAUGA